UUGUUAGACUUCAGUGCUGCUUUUGACAUUAUCGAUCAUAGUCUGCUGCUGGAAAAACGAAUGUGUUAUGGCCUCACACCCUCUGCUAUAUUGUGGAUCGAGAGUUACCUGUCUAACAGAACACAGAGGGUGUUCUUUAACCUCUUCAUCACGAGGUUCCCCAUAUCCGGGGUACUCCUCCCGCAAUCUCAAACAAUGGCAUAGUACGGUUUUUAAACAUGUGUGAAUACCUGAAUGUUAUACACUACUGGAACGAGAACAAACGUCCCUUUUUUUUAUCACAACAACAAACUGCGUCUUACCUUUGUUGUUUCUGUUACCAAAAGUAGUGUCUGAUCGAAUAAAACCACUUGAAAAGAUACUCUAGGGUCUCUCUCUCAUUCCGAGUCGAUUUCAAUGAGUUUCCAUCGUUUUACAUGGCCAACAAUGUGUUUGAAGAUGAAGUCAGUAGUUUGGUUCAAUCACAACAGGCACUGUUUUGUCGCCAUCUUCUGGAUAUAUGAUGCAAUCCCAGUGGCUUGCAUGUGUGCUAAUUUAAUUCUACAGAUCCAGAGCUUUCGAUAGAGGGGUCACAUGUCAAAAUCGACCAACCGGUUGUUGAAAUAUCCAAGUGCGCACCUCAUUGUAUCAUAUUAGUUGACUUGCUGCGUUACACACGAUUACGCAGAGCGCACAACAACACUAGAAUUUCGGAGGGAAAACGCAACGUUUAUUCAAAUAUGGCAGGCUCUAGUAACAAAUAUACAGUUACAGAGGCGUUAUUAAUUGUAACAGAUGGAAGUUGGACUCCAUGUAUCCCCAUUGACUCUGAAUCAGACGAUGAGGACCUGCUUAGACCGGACGAACCAGACCCCAACGACGAGAACGAAGGUUAUCGUGUCCAGGGCCCUACUCAAGCAUCAGAAGAUGAAGAUGAUUAUAGGGGUGAUGAGCCACAGCCAGAGCAUCUGCCUCCUCAGCCACAGCUUCCCCUUCCUCAGGCAGAGCCUCCUCUUCCUCAGCCUGGCCGCUUGUCUAGACAACGCACUUCUGCUCCCCUCCCUCGGCCACGGUCUUCAUCGGACACUGAGUCCCCUGUAAAGAGCCCUCAACCCAAAAGAAAAGGAAAAGCUUUCUCAAAGUCAGCGUGGUGGAGUGAGGCCUGCCACUCCAAGAGUCGGGGAGGAAGAAGAGGAAGAAGAAGAUAGGUGGCAUAAUAGAGAAGAGAAAAAAGGGUCUACAUUUUGUGUAACAACCCACCCAAGGACACCAUAUCAUUGUUUAUAGUUUUGGGGUGUGUGUAAUUUUUGUUUUAAAAUUUGUUGUUUAUAGUUUCUAAUAAAUAUGCUCAGUUUGGAGUCAAACUUU